rnacentral:rRNA from 2 species
UACGUAGGUGGCGAGCGUUGUCCGGAAUUACUGGGUGUAAAGGGCGUGUAGGCGGGUAAGCAAGUCAGAUGUGAAAUACCGGGGCUCAACCCCGGGGCUGCAUUUGAAACUGCAUAUCUUGAGUGCAGGAGAGGGAAGCGGAAUUCCUAGUGUAGCGGUGAAAUGCGUAGAUAUUAGGAGGAACACCAGUGGCGAAGGCGGCUUCCUGGACUGUAACUGACGCUGAGGCGCGAAAGCGUGGGGAGCGAAC